rnacentral:rRNA from 1 species
UACGGAGGGUGCGAGCGUUGUCCGGAAUUAUUGGGCGUAAAGAGCUCGUAGGCGGUUUGUCGCGUCUGCUGUGAAAACCCGAGGCUCAACCUCGGGCCUGCAGUGGGUACGGGCAGACUAGAGUGCGGUAGGGGAGAUUGGAAUUCCUGGUGUAGCGGUGGAAUGCGCAGAUAAUCAGGAGGAACACCGAUGGCGAAGGCAGAUCUCUGGGCCUGUACUGACGCUGAGGAGCGAAAGCAUGGGGAGCGAACAGG